GCCUCAAACUCACUAUGUAGUUGAGACUGACCUUGAACACCUGAUCUUCCUACUUCUACAUACAGGCUUGUACCACCUUGCUGGUGUAUGUGUGUGGUGGGGGUGAGGACUUUGCUCUUAGUUUCACUAACCAAAAUAUUUCACAUAGUCAUAGCUGCUGACUUAUUUUUCCAUGGAUAGAGUCAGAAGAUUUCACUAAGGAACUAACUGCAUUUAACAUUUUUUGUUGUUUUUUUUUUUUUUUUUAAUGUCUACAUUGACUCCCAAAAGAAGGCUUUGUGAGAGCUCUGGUAAUUUUGCUCGAUCAAUUAUGGCAGUUGUAGAAAAACUGACCAUUCCCAACCUAGAAAGGGCUAACGGAUACCUAGGACGAGUGGUUAGGAUUUCAUUGCUUGUUAAACAGGCUAGCCAGUGUAGUCUGAGCAAAGGUAGGUAGGAGUUUUCACUCAGAGCAAAGGUUCUUGGAGUGGCAAAGAGGAGGACCCCAGCAAGUGCCUGCUUGAGCACCCUGGUGGUAUUCUAAGCAGGAGACCUCUCAUACAGAUGGCAACAUGCCGGAGUCUGUCCCACGCUCCUCCUGAGGAGCAAGGGACUGACUGGUAUGACCUCAGCAGGGCACUUAUAAUUUUAAAUGGUGAAUUUAUGGCUCAAACUAAAUACCAGAAUCGAGUUUCUGUGGCUCACCAGCACUGAUUCCAGGGAAAGAGGUCCGCCUGAGACCACAGGCCAUGAGACCACAGGCCAUGCCUGCAAAAUAAGAGGAAAGCCUUCCUUGACGUGAGGAUGGUGCUUAUGCAAGCGGUCCAAGGGCCAGUGAGUAACCGCUAGGCUUCCUUUCCAGAGCAGGCUCUGGUGAACUGGUGAACUGUGGGGCACCAAUACUCAUGCCAGCUGCUGGUGGGAAGGAAGCACUUGGUGACCAAGCAGGACCUCUGCAGUGCCUAGGGCUGCAGACAGAACUGGGAAGGACCCACAAGCUUUGGUCACCUCCAGGGCUUUCAAAACAGAUUUAAAAAUAAAUUCUGUAUCCAUCAUAGGGAAAACAAACAAGUCCAUGUCUUCCAAUCCAUCCACUGUCUUGGUAAGAGCUGUUAUUUACAUGUGGUGCAUGAUUAACCUUCCCCCAAAUGCCCUAAACCACUUGGCACUGGGGAAAGUGAACACUAGUGGGUUCUUUUGCACUCCUUCCCUCCCACAAACGUCCUCUGUUAAUACCAUUCAGGAUGUUACUUAUUUACUAGAAGCCUGACUUCCCUUCGCAUAAGGUUCUGGGGGAGCCCAUAGGACACCAAGGACUCCAUUAACUUCCAAAGAGAUUUUAUUUUUGACGGGGAAGACCUUGGAGGGGAGCAGACAACACCAAGUUUUUUCCAAGAGCAAUGUGCAACGCCCAGGGUAGAGAAGGGGCUGCCCCUCUUCACAUUCCAGCAGAGGCAGCUGCAAUUUCCAGACAGAGGGUGGAGCCUGCCUGGGAAUCCACUUUCCCUCAAGGUGCACCUGCCCUCACCGGCUGGACAACCCCACCACCGGAGGUGUGAAGACCCGCAGGGUCCCCACCCUACAGUACACUGUGCAGUGAGUUCAAGUUACAGAGACAACCUGGCCAGAAAACGAGAUUCUAAACAUAAGAAACUCAAACCUCUGAGCAAUGGCCCAGACAUCUACCUAGUCCCAGCCCAGCGGUAUGGCAGGCAUGGGCCACUUAAACACACGCGAGUGUGAAAACAAAUAAAAGCAGCUUAUAUUUUAGUAGAAAAAUGUGGUGAGCAGGUAGUCCCGGAGGAAGAAGGGGGCUGGGUUCUCUUAGCGUUGGUUCCCUGUGGCCUCAGUGAGCCACAACUGCUGGCUCAGAAAUCAGGCGUGAUCUAUCUGAUUAGAGAGGUAUCCUACAAGAAGAUACCUCUCCCCUGCUUCAAUAUUCCCAAGGUCUCCACCAUCUCGCAGGCCCAGAUGUCUCUUUAAAUCCGACGGAGAACAGUAAUUCACACAGUCGCGGUCGGGCACGAAGCGUCCUGUGGGGUGGGGUGUCUGCCAUUGCUGUGCUCCAGUGCACUCCACUGUAUCUGUAAGGCUAACCUGCCCUGGAGAUAGGAAGCCCGUGGGAGCAGAGAGGAGGGACCUUGUCUGCCUCUCAGCCUUUGCUUCUGCAGCGGAAGAACUUACCUUCAAUCCCUGAUCUGCCCACUACCGAGCCUCAAGUCAGCAGCAUCAGGUGGUGGAAUGUGGUGUCCAGAAGAGAUAUCCAGUCUCCGGGUUUUUUCUAGUCAUUUCCUGGGAAGACACGGCUGAUGGAAGUCAUCUUAAGAGCAUGCAAACCAUGGACGAUAGCAAAGAUAACCAGGAGAGGGUGGUGUCAAUGCUGGUGUCAUGGUCACUGGCUUUGAGAGCAGCAGGAACUCUAACCUGCCAACUCUUAUUUCAUAAGUGCUGGAAGCGAUCCAGGUGGAUGCAUCCCGGAUGCUAAGGAAUUCCUCGGUCUGAGACAUUUUGUUGGAUUUCUACAAUGUUCAAUCCCUGGAGCCCAUAUGGAAAAGCUGAAGGCAGUGACACACAUCUACAAGUACAGCACUCCUGUGGAGAGGAUGGAGAGACAGAAAUGGAGACAGAACUGCGGAGAAGCUGAUAGAGCAGCUAACACGAAGAAUUAGAACAUCAGAAAAAGAAGGUUUUGCCCAAACAAGGUAGAAGACAAGAACUGACUCCUUAAAGCUAUGUGUCCUGACUUCCACACACAGGCAGUAGCACAAGCAUGCCUAUACAUAUGUGGGCAUGUGUGCACACAUGUGCAUGCAUGUGCACACACGGACAACAAUAAAAAGGUGGCUAUUGGCUCUUCCCUAUUUCAGAGAUAGCUGCAGUGCCAGCCGCACCUCUGAGACAUGAAGGUCAAGUUCAGAGUGAACAGAUUGGGUGGUAUUGGGUGCCUAGUCACUAGGGAUGUCUUCAACUUGGGCAAAGUGGGUACUGUUCUCAUCAAGGAUCCAUUCAUUGACUUCGGGUACACGUCAUGCAUGUUUCAGUAUGAUUCUACUCAUAGAAAUGUCUGCCACAUGGAGAAACAGGAAAUUUGUCACUAGCAGGAAAGCAACCGCAAUCUUGCAGGAGAGCGAUCUCGUCAACAUCAAAUGGGGAGCUGCUGCUACUGAGUAUGCUUUAAGUCACCAUCUCUGCAUCUUCUGCCGAUGCCCCCAUGUUUGUAAUGGGUGUGAACCAUGAGACAUAUGACUACUCAUGCAAGAUUGUUAGCAAUCCUCCUGCACCACCUACUGCUUAGGCCCCUGGCCAACAUCAUCCAUAACAAGUUUGGCAUCAUGGAGGGACUCACAAGCAGGGUCUAUGUCCCUGCCAUCACCCAGAGGACUGCAAAUAGGCCACACUUCUAAGAAACUGUGGAGGAAUGGCCAUGGGACUACCUAGAGCAUCAUCUCUGAAUCCACUGGUGCUUCCAAGGCUGUGGGCAAAGUCAUCCCAGAGCCGAACAGGAAGCUCAUUGGUGUGAUCUUUCGUAUUACUACCCCUCACGGCAGUAGAUCUGACUUGCCAUCUGCAGAAAGCUGACAAAUAUGAUGAUAGGAAGGUGGUGAAGCCAGGAUUGUCCAGCUUUCUUGAGAGCUUGUUUGGAGGUUCUAGCAGGGGAGCGCAGCUACUCGUAUACCCUUGACCGAAGACCGGUCCUCCUCUAUUCGGGGAAGGUCGUCCUCUUCGACCGAGCGCGCAGCUUCGGGAGGGACGCACAUGGAGCGGUGAGGGAGGAAGGGGACACCCGCCUAGCCAGCCAGAUCAGCCGAAUCAAC
rnacentral:sRNA from 1 species